rnacentral:rRNA from 1 species
UACGUAGGGUCCGAGCGUUGUCCGGAAUUAUUGGGCGUAAAGGGCUCGUAGGCGGUUUGUCGCGUCGGGAGUGAAAACUCAGGGCUUAACCCUGAGCCUGCUCCCGAUACGGGCAGACUAGAGGUAUGCAGGGGAGAACGGAAUUCCUGGUGUAGCGGUGAAAUGCGCAGAUAUCAGGAGGAACACCGGUGGCGAAGGCGGUUCUCUGGGCAUUACCUGACGCUGAGGAGCGAAAGUGUGGGGAGCGAACAGG